UUCUAUGGUGGGCUGUGUGGGGGCACCUCACGGUGCGCCGGGUCCUUUGUAGCCGGUAAGACCAACUCUGCACAGUUCACCACCAUC
rnacentral:antisense_RNA from 1 species